rnacentral:sRNA from 1 species
CAGCCAUGAUUAAGGUACUGAAAUUUCUUUUGACUGAAUCCAACAGCAUUCAACAACAGAACACAGAUCACCUUUUAAGGUCUAUUAUAACAGAUGCUUCCAGACUACAUAAUCAGUAACAUCCUCAGUUGGAAUACAUAAGAAAGUUAUGGGGGAGGGGGAGCAUAUUAUACCAUAAAGAAUGUUGCAAACAAGCUAGUUUUAUCAACUACUAGAUUUUGAUGAGAAAGAGCUGAGGCUGUUCUUGGAGGCCUCUGGGGAGCUGGAAUAAACACUCCAUUUUGGAGACAUUCACGAUGGGUCAAACUAAUUAG